UAACGCGUGGGUAACCUGCCUCAUACAGGGGGAUAACAGUUAGAAAUGACUGCUAAUACCGCAUAAGCGCACAGUGCUGCAUGGCACAGUGUGAAAAACUCCGGUGGUAUGAGAUGGACCCGCGUCUGAUUAGCUAGUUGGUGGGGUAACGGCCUACCAAGGCGACGAUCAGUAGCCGGCCUGAGAGGGUGACCGGCCACAUUGGGACUGAGACACGGCCCAG
rnacentral:rRNA from 1 species